rnacentral:rRNA from 1 species
UACGUAGGGGGCGAGCGUUGUCCGGAUUUAUUGGGCGUAAAGAGCGUGUAGGCGGCCAGGUAGGUCUGCUGUGAAAACUCGAGGCUCAACCUCGAGACGUCGGUGGAAACCACCUGGCUAGAGUCCGGAAGAGGAGAGUGGAAUUCCUGGUGUAGCGGUGAAAUGCGCAGAUAUCAGGAAGAAUAUCCGUGGCGAAGGCGGCUCUCUGGGACGGUACUGACGCUGAGACGCGAAAGCGUGGGGAGCGAACAGG